rnacentral:rRNA from 1 species
UACGUAGGGACCGAGCGUUGUCCGGAAUCAUUGGGCGUAAAGCGCGUGUAGGCGGUUCGAUAAGUCUGCUGUGAAAGUCCAGGGCUCAACCCUGGAAAGCCGGUGGAUACUGUCGGACUAGAGUGCGGAAGAGGCGAGUGGAAUUCCCGGUGUAGCGGUGAAAUGCGCAGAUAUCGGGAGGAACACCAAUUGCGAAGGCAGCUCGCUGGGACGUUACUGACGCUGAGACGCGAAAGCGUGGGGAGCAAACAGG